AGCGUACACGGUGGAUGCCCUGGCAGUCAGAGGCGAUGAAGGACGUGCUAAUCUGCGAUAAGCGUCGGUAAGGUGAUAUGAACCGUUAUAACCGGCGAUUUCCGAAUGGGGAAACCCAGUGUGAUUCGUCACACUAUCAUUAACUGAAUCCAUAGGUUAAUGAGGCGAACCGGGGGAACUGAAACAUCUAAGUACCCCGAGGAAAAGAAAUCAACCGAGAUUCCCCCAGUAGCGGCGAGCGAACGGGGAGCAGCCCAGAGCCUGAAUCAGUAUGUGUGUUAGUGGAAGCGUCUGGAAAGGCGUGCGAUACAGGGUGACAGCCCCGUACACAAAAAUGCACAUGCUGUGAGCUCGAUGAGUAGGGCGGGACACGUGGUAUCCUGUCUGAAUAUGGGGGGACCAUCCUCCAAGGCUAAAUACUCCUGACUGACCGAUAGUGAACCAGUACCGUGAGGGAAAGGCGAAAAGAACCCCGGCGAGGGGAGUGAAAAAGAACCUGAAACCGUGUACGUACAAGCAGUGGGAGCCUCUUUAAUGGGGUGACUGCGUACCUUUUGUAUAAUGGGUCAGCGACUUAUAUUCUGUAGCAAGGUUAACCGAAUAGGGGAGCCGAAGGGAAACCGAGUCUUAACUGGGCGUUAAGUUGCAGGGUAUAGACCCGAAACCCGGUGAUCUAGCCAUGGGCAGGUUGAAGGUUGGGUAACACUAACUGGAGGACCGAACCGACUAAUGUUGAAAAAUUAGCGGAUGACUUGUGGCUGGGGGUGAAAGGCCAAUCAAACCGGGAGAUAGCUGGUUCUCCCCGAAAGCUAUUUAGGUAGCGCCUCGUGAAUUCAUCUCCGGGGGUAGAGCACUGUUUCGGCAAGGGGGUCAUCCCGACUUACCAACCCGAUGCAAACUGCGAAUACCGGAGAAUGUUAUCACGGGAGACACACGGCGGGUGCUAACGUCCGUCGUGAAGAGGGAAACAACCCAGACCGCCAGCUAAGGUCCCAAAGUCAUGGUUAAGUGGGAAACGAUGUGGGAAGGCCCAGACAGCCAGGAUGUUGGCUUAGAAGCAGCCAUCAUUUAAAGAAAGCGUAAUAGCUCACUGGUCGAGUCGGCCUGCGCGGAAGAUGUAACGGGGCUAAACCAUGCACCGAAGCUGCGGCAGCGACACUAUGUGUUGUUGGGUAGGGGAGCGUUCUGUAAGCCGUUGAAGGUGGCCUGUGAGGGUUGCUGGAGGUAUCAGAAGUGCGAAUGCUGACAUAAGUAACGAUAAAGCGGGUGAAAAGCCCGCUCGCCGGAAGACCAAGGGUUCCUGUCCAACGUUAAUCGGGGCAGGGUGAGUCGACCCCUAAGGCGAGGCCGAAAGGCGUAGUCGAUGGGAAACAGGUUAAUAUUCCUGUACUUGGUGUUACUGCGAAGGGGGGACGGAGAAGGCUAUGUUGGCCGGGCGACGGUUGUCCCGGUUUAAGCGUGUAGGCUGAUUUUCCAGGCAAAUCCGGAGAAUCAAGGCUGAGGCGUGAUGACGAGGCACUACGGUGCUGAAGCAACAAAUGCCCUGCUUCCAGGAAAAGCCUCUAAGCAUCAGGUAACAUCAAAUCGUACCCCAAACCGACACAGGUGGUCAGGUAGAGAAUACCAAGGCGCUUGAGAGAACUCGGGUGAAGGAACUAGGCAAAAUGGUGCCGUAACUUCGGGAGAAGGCACGCUGAUGGUAGGUGAAGCGACUUGCUCGUGGAGCUGAAAUCAGUCGAAGAUACCAGCUGGCUGCAACUGUUUAUUAAAAACACAGCACUGUGCAAACACGAAAGUGGACGUAUACGGUGUGACGCCUGCCCGGUGCCGGAAGGUUAAUUGAUGGGGUCAGCCGCAAGGCGAAGCUCUUGAUCGAAGCCCCGGUAAACGGCGGCCGUAACUAUAACGGUCCUAAGGUAGCGAAAUUCCUUGUCGGGUAAGUUCCGACCUGCACGAAUGGCGUAAUGAUGGCCAGGCUGUCUCCACCCGAGACUCAGUGAAAUUGAACUCGCUGUGAAGAUGCAGUGUACCCGCGGCAAGACGGAAAGACCCCGUGAACCUUUACUAUAGCUUGACACUGAACAUUGAGCCUUGAUGUGUAGGAUAGGUGGGAGGCUUUGAAGUGUGGACGCCAGUCUGCAUGGAGCCGACCUUGAAAUACCACCCUUUAAUGUUUGAUGUUCUAACGUGGACCCGUGAUCCGGGUUGCGGACAGUGUCUGGUGGGUAGUUUGACUGGGGCGGUCUCCUCCUAAAGAGUAACGGAGGAGCACGAAGGUUGGCUAAUCCUGGUCGGACAUCAGGAGGUUAGUGCAAUGGCAUAAGCCAGCUUGACUGCGAGCGUGACGGCGCGAGCAGGUGCGAAAGCAGGUCAUAGUGAUCCGGUGGUUCUGAAUGGAAGGGCCAUCGCUCAACGGAUAAAAGGUACUCCGGGGAUAACAGGCUGAUACCGCCCAAGAGUUCAUAUCGACGGCGGUGUUUGGCACCUCGAUGUCGGCUCAUCACAUCCUGGGGCUGAAGUAGGUCCCAAGGGUAUGGCUGUUCGCCAUUUAAAGUGGUACGCGAGCUGGGUUUAGAACGUCGUGAGACAGUUCGGUCCCUAUCUGCCGUGGGCGCUGGAGAAUUGAGGGGGGCUGCUCCUAGUACGAGAGGACCGGAGUGGACGCAUCACUGGUGUUCGGGUUGUCAUGCCAAUGGCACUGCCCGGUAGCUAAAUGCGGAAGAGAUAAGUGCUGAAAGCAUCUAAGCACGAAACUUGCCCCGAGAUGAGUUCU
rnacentral:rRNA from 3 species